rnacentral:lncRNA from 1 species
UUUUUGUUUCUAUUUUGAAACAGAUUUUUUUAAGUACUUAUUGUAAAUAUAUGUUUUAUAAUUGUUGAAAACCUUGGAAAUUUAACUAAAGCUUUAACUAGCAUGUGUAAAAACAACAUGGGUGAUUUUAUGUCCAAAAUAUCUGUGUUCUGUUAAAGUGUUUUUAGUUUAAUGUAAUAACACUUUGUACCACAAGAUGGUAUGCUGAGUCAAUAACCCAUUAAGAAAGUGUUUGUAUUCACCAGGUUGGCCUGGGAAAAGGCUCUUGACGAAAUAAGGAAGCUAUUUCAGCUAGGCUGCUACGUCAAAAAAACACCUACACACCCACUGUGUCAUCAUUUAUCAGCACUUCAGUUCCAGUCUGCCUGUCUGAAAACAUCUGUACAGCAGUGUCCAGCCUUUUAAGUCUCCCCGUCUUAAAUCUUGGGAACGUCAGCUGUUGUGAUAACAAUUUGUGUAAUACUGCUCUAACAACUACAACAUUCAUCUAUCUUCUAUUUGGACUCAUAUAUAUUAUCUAUUAGAAGAAAAUAAAAAGGCUUGAUACACCUUGUGAAGCAUAAGAAAGGCUCAGAAAACCCCUUUUUCAAGACCUGAUUUGGCUUACGAAAUCCAAAUUUAGAUAAAAGAGGCUGGAGUCUGUCUGAAGCUGAGGUUCAAUAAAAAGGCAUCAAUAUAAAACAAAUAAAAAAAUAACUGCAUACAUACCAAUAUUUGCUCGAUAUAUCAUACUUUCUGCAUGUUUUCUUUUUUCUUUUAAUUAUCAAGGGAAUUAGGCAUUUUAAGGCUUGUGUGAAAUGUUGAACUGUAGCAUUCCUUGUAGUAGGAAAAAUAGUAUCAAUAUCUGAUAAUAAUGAAGAUUUAACUGAAACAAUACUAAAGACUUUACAGGCAUGAACAAUCUACUGCAUAAGGGAUUCUUCAUGAAUGGCUCUCAAUGUAAAACCAGUAACAAAAUAGAUAAAAUUUAUAAAUCAAAAAUAUAUAAAUAAAAACAAGAAAAAAAUCUGUUUGAAACUGAUAUGAAUUUUAUUUAUUGUUUUGUUUUUCCAUGUCAUGCUGGUGGUCAUACUUAGGCCAAACAAAAUACAAUAAAAAUGAAGAAAUAAAAACAGAAACAUUUCCAUGGUGUUCAACCUGUGUUUGGUAAAGACAGUGUGCCUUGACACAUCCUCCAAUCCGUACUGUAAUUGGCUGUUAAAGUAAUGGCACAAAAAUCCACACACUUAUGGUACAAAAUGUAGCUGUAAGAGUUAUGAGUAAGAGUAAUGAUAAGAGUUGUG